GUUAUAUACGUAGGUACAACAAAACGUAACAAACGCAUUUCCUAAAGGAAAAAGCUUUGAGGGAAAACUAAUAACAAAUUCGAUCUAAAAUACUUGGAAUACUUGUAAUAUCAAAAUAGAACAAACCGAUUAUAUUCGCAUGGCCCAAAUAUAAACGUUAUUUGGAAAGUUUAAUGUUUGACCGCAUCUGAAAAAUGUUAGUGAAAUAUACCCAAUAAUAGUGUCUUGCUGAAACCUUCACUUGGUUCGAAAAUAACUUCGACUAAUGUAAACCGAGAAAUGCCGAAAGGUAAUAUUUUUGUUGUGGUUUCGAUAGAACCAUUCCAGUAAUAGUCUUCAGUGUUUAAAAUUCGUACUUAUUAAAUUAUGGAUAGGUAGAUAACUAAACUUUUUGUUCAAAAAAGAAUGGUAAUAAUCAGUUCCUGGAUCUUAACUUUACUUUAAAUUGUUUUGAAUAAUUUUACUUCAGGAAUACGAAUUUCAAACAAUAUCUAGAUUAUCGUCGAUAAAUUGAAACCGUUAUUGAAUUGGAACCUUAGCAUCGAUAAACUAAUAGAGAAUAAGUCUUUUUUUGUCCACGACGCGUAUUAUGUAAUGAGAUCCGUUUUUAUUUUUAACAACAGGUAAAUGAACAACUUACUAACGACAUUGUUAGUAUCAAGUGAGUAUCUUGUUAAAUGGAGCACUCGGUUCAUAGUAGGUAUCAAUCAUUGUCUCUUAUAUUGUAUGUACUACUAGACCAUCACGACAAGACACACGACGACCAUAGUAUUAUAGUCAACUGUGAAUACAAGACGUGCACUCGCACAUAAUACCAAAAAUACGUGUGACGACCGAUGGCGUUAAGAUAAUAUAAUCAUUAUAAUGUGUUUUGAAUAUUCAGCACCAACCGUUUCAAACGUGCAGCAGUUUACGUACAUAUUAUAAUGCCUAGGCACUAAUAUGUCCAUUUGGAAUCGCUGACUCGACUUCGGCGGGAGUUUUGCAAUUACGCCGACAGUUUACAUUUAUCUUGCACACACAGUUUUAGACUUUAGUCGCCAUACCAACGCCCAAAGUUGAGUGGCACUCGCAUCGACACCACCCAUGCACAGCCAACGGUGUUCGGCUCAAAAACGUGUUCCCGAUUGUUUAAGUUUUGACUACUUGAGCCAUUAUUUGUGUUGGGACGAUUAAUAAUCAUGGUCGUUAUUGCGGGACCAGCCGAAGGGUGAGAGCCGCGGGUAUAACGCGACGGCGGUAUAUAGGUGGUUGAUGUAAAAAUAAACAGACGACUACGUGUUUUCGGCGCCCACGGUGAAUACCUAACCCCAUUUUACCGACUGAAAACGGCGGCAUCGAGUCUGGCGCUGCUGGCUGGCCGAAUGAAAUUACGACGGCAGUGCUAUCGACCAUCCGUCGACCAGAAACGAAACUGUACAAUAUUGACACCACCUUUUUUUCGUGAAAAAUGUGCUCACUCGGUUUUCCAUUUCUCUGCAGUAGGUAUACCCGAACUUUUGUGGCUGUUUUGAUCGAGUUCAACGAAGUUGUUAAACAUUUUUAUGAUAUUAUAACGAACGCGAGCUUUGAUAAAUGUGACGGCUUUGUGGCGUAUCCGCCAUACGUCAUAAACUCUAUAUUAUAUUAUGUUU